AUCUAUUUCAGGUGAGGCAGAGCUAUGUGAUCUACACAGGCAAGGAUUCGACCUGAUCAAACUCACAGAAUCUCCCUCUUCCCUUCACAGCUUAAUUUUAGUGAUCUGUUUUCCAGCCUUCCUUCGCAUGACAAGGCCAGAAACCUCCUCCAGACCACACAUGCUCACGCUCUGGCCCCCUCCUUGGCAUUGGCAUGGCUGCAAGCUGCUACCUCCAGAGUCCUGUCUGCAUGACGGUUCAUCACUGGGUAUAAGAGUCACCACUGCAGAGAAGAAGCAGACAUAACAGGGACAUGGAAGUGUCUCUUUCAUCCAGAAAGCAUCAAGUCUUUUAAAGGCCACUCACCUACUGCCCUCCGUGUCCUGGUGUUGUCAGCACCUCCAUCCAAUAUGGUAGUGAGCCUCUCCACACUGAAGGAGGCAGUCUGCCUUUCAGCUUUAAGGUUGGGAUUCACAUCUCUGCUACCAGAGCUCCUGAAAUAGCCACUCCUGUUCCACUGGGCCAUCUGAGAUUGCUGGAAUCCCAGAGAACAGAUGGUAUGAAUUAAUCUGUCAGCCCUCCAAAACCCAGUAAAGGCAUCAUAUGCUAUCUACCAAGAUACCCAACAACAGCAAGAAGAAGAAAGCUCUCGCGAACCAGCUUCAAAAGAGCAAAGAGAACUGCGGCUUAGAAAAAUUGCCCAAGAACAGCUGUUUUGGGGGGUAGCCAGGCCAUGGGUAAGUGACAGCCACACUAGAAACGGUCUAUAAGUGGAGGCUGAAAAUAGCAACAAUUUUUGUGACAGCACUGUAAUGUUUAAAGUCGAAAGGAUUUUUAGCAUAAUUUCCACCGAAGGCAUCAUUAUCUGCAAAUCCAGUAACGAGCUGCUUGGGUGACUGCCCCAGAACUUCCUGGUUACUCAUGUGACUGCUGGCUGGAAUAUUAAACACUUUCAUCCCCAGUCAGUCCACAGGGCGCUUUGCGUUGGCUGUCAUUAGAGCCUCUGCAUGUCCCAAAAGGACCCCCGGAGCCGCUUUCAGACGAUCCAGAAAGAGAGUCACGGCAUUAAAUAUGCACUUUAUAAUUCUAACCGGCAUUCCCACUCAUGAGGCAAAAAGUGUCUUCACUACGUGUGAGUUUAAUUUUCACAUCCACACCGUUCAGCAGCAUUUUUUCUUGAAAAAUGAAAUUGCGGUGUAAACCCCCUGCUACCCACACCAGCCAGGUGAUCUUCUCGUGAGUUCCCUCUGUGUCUUCCUGAAACCCUCUGGGGGAGACCUGCAUAGAGAAGAUUUCAUUGUGGUAGUUUAAAAUCAAUUCUAUAAAGGCUUUGUAAGGGUAAGCAUUGUUGUCUGGCUGACAGCCAGCUGGUAAAAAGGUUGGCAAUGGGGCGAUCCUGGCAUUGUCAUCAAUGUCUGACCCAUCUUCUUUUGCUGUCUGGCAGCGCAUGCACUGCAAAGUGUUGCUGAGGUCUAAGUAAUGACCCCUGUGUCCUGAAACAAAACAUUCUCGAGGGGCAUUCAUCAUUAAAGCAGCCAAGGUCACACCUCACCAGAAAAGCGAUUCUCAAUACUGGUUAGAUUAGGGGCUAUUUGAAAUAAAUCCAGCUGGGAUUCAGCACAUUCUUCAGGACCGCCAUGAAUGAAAGUUGUAUUGUGUUUUCAAACGGGUUCUCAAGCUUUUACUUUCUGAGGCCCCUCCAACAUGCUAUAAAAACUCCACGGCCCACCUGUGCCUGUAAAUGGACACACAACGCUGCUCUUUUUCUCCUAAUCACUACUAGACCAGAGCCUCCCUGUUGCAUGUAUGUGCCCUCCUUGUGUGUAAUGGCACUAGAUAUGUGGGUCACUUCAUUUUUGGUUAUAUGUUUUGCAACCAUUUUCAUGUGAGUCUUAAUAAUUUCUAGCCCCCGUCUCAAAAUCAACCCAGCUUUUCUAAAUAGACUGUGGAAUAUCCAGUCUAACUCAGCCCCCUACAUAACAGGUAAUCCCUGGUUAUCUUGGUAGGGCAUAACCAGCCUGGGCCUUUUAGUAGUUCUUAAACAAAGAGGGGUCCCCAUCAUUUUUUAUAGUCACCGUCCUUCAACUUUCCCAAAGUGCAGAUGACAUUGAAUGAUUACUUUUCCGAAUGAAAUGAAAUGUUUUUAUUCUGGUCUCUCUUUAUUUCCGUAGGUUUCAGAGUAGCCGCCGUGUUAGUCUGU